GGUGUGUGCUUGUAGUCCCAGCUGCUGGUGAGGCUGAGGCAGCAGAAUCGCUUGAACCCAGGAGGCGGAGGUUGCAGUGAGCGAGCUGAGAUCAAGCUACUGCACUCCAGCCUGGGCGACAGAGUGAGAGUCCAUCUCAAAAAAAAAGAAAGAAAGAAAAAAAAGAGAAUGAUCCUAUUAAUAAUAAUACCACCGUAUACUGGGCACUUACUAUAUGUCUGGUGCUGUGUCAUCUAAUUUAAUCUUCACAAUGACUAUCUGCCCUAAUGUAGACACUAUGAUUAGCUCCAAUUAUAGAAGUAUUUUUACAAGGAAGCAAAUGGAAGGCUAAAGAGGUUGCAGUUUGUCCAAGAUCACACUAAUUGCAGAGCUCUCUUGGGUCUCUCUUCUCCUCCGCCCAGAUAUCAUCUGGUUUAGUAUCAGAACCCCUUCACGGGUAGCACCAGGUACAAUCUAGAUUCAACACCUGUGCUUUGUAAUAUCCCAUGUGUCAGUGCAAUACCGCUAAACGCAUAACAUCUUUCUAGGAAAUGUGGGUCUUUUUGGUCUUUGAUGUUACAUGCUUUCAGACCCUAAAGGCUGAAAACCAAUAAAGUCCUACUCCAUCAUCUUCCAGGGGUCUCCAGAGUGACCUGAUGUUUUCACAAAGUCAUACGGUGGCCCAUCUGCGGCAGGUUGGAAGUCUGUGUUGUGGAUUUUCUCCAUCCACCGCUGGGUCUUAGAGUUCCCGGGUCUGGGAGGUGUCAGAUCUCAUUGCUGUUGAGAAAGGUUGAGCCAGUUUACAUGUCGACUAGCAGAAUGCAGCUGCCUCCUCUCCUGGAGAGACCUUUCUCAAAUUGGCAGGUGUCAGCAGCCCUGAUUCAUGCCUGGGGUUUCGAAGUCUUCCUCCUGCUUGCAGGGAGCUCGGCUCAUCUUUGAUUCCAGCCACGGCACAGAGGCCGUGGUUCCUGCACUCUUGCUGGAAUGGGUUCAGUCUUGCGUCGCUGAGAGGGCUUAACCAGGCUAUUGUGGGAUAACCAGCCCUGCACGACGCCCGCACAGGGGCGUGGUGAGGAUCCAACGUGAUGUGCGUAUGAAAGUGUUUAGAGAAAGAGAAAAUGCUGGGCACACACAGAGCAUGAUGAUGACAGCGGAGGAGAAGCAAGAGGAGGAGGCGGACGGGAGGGCUUUUUAUUUCUUCCUCUGGACUUGGUCCUAGGGUGGAAGCUUCCCUGCUUCUCAUGCCGCUGUGACCUUGCGGGGGCUCCUCGGUCACGCGCGUGCUGGAUCAGAGAGUGGCUCAGUUUCCUGACAUUUCAGCUCCGCACUUUUAUUUGCACUGGAUCUUUCCAUUGAAGACAUCUGCCAGCGAGAUUAAAUAGAGCUUUUCUUGGGCCACGGAAAGGUGAUUAUUUGCAUUACGUGGGAGUAGUCAUCCAUGAGAAUGAAAAAUUUCCCUCUUCAGAAGAAAAUAAAGAGAGGCUGGCUGGAUUCUGUCAACGCCAUGACUCACGGGGAGGGUGACGCCUUUGGAAGGAAGGGGGUCUGCGGUGGUGCAGGGGUGACUAUGGACAUGAAAUCUUCCCAGAGCGUGGAAGUCGAAACAGGUUGGAUGUGUUCAUUCACCUAUUUCCUCAUUAAACAACCAUUUAUGAAAUACACACCUUGGCCUGUGCAUUGACCCAGGCCUCUAGGGUCCAACGUGUAGGCAGAAAUGGAUACCCACAUGGCUGAUGAUGUCCUGUGGGGGCACAGAUGUGGGAUAACUCAAUGCUGCAGGGGAGCUGGGUGCCAGGGAAUGUCCUGGAGACGACGUAACACUUGCACUAGGUCUUAAAGGAAGGAGGUUGGCUCUUCUGAUUGACAGGCUGGGCUAAAACUCACUGCUAACACGCGUGUCUUCCUCCGUGGGACCUGUUUUCCUACUGCCAGAGGCAUCCCCACAUGCUCAGAGUCACAGCACACAUGCUUGCCCUGUGUCCUGCAGUCCCAUGAGCCUCCCCAUGGCCAGCUGGGAGGCAUUGGACACCCACACACACACAGCAGACAAACUCCUCAGAUGUGGACUUGAAGGAUCGUGGAUCCCUGCAUGACCGAGUGGAGCAGAGCACCCCCACCUUGGCCUGUUCCGUGAGUGAGAAGUACAUUUUUAUUUUAUUUAAAAUUUUAGAGACAGGGUCCCAC
rnacentral:lncRNA from 10 species